AGAGUUUGAUCCUGGCUCAGGAUGAACGCUAGCUACAGGCUUAACACAUGCAAGUCGAGGAGAAACGACAUCGAAAGCUUGCUUUUGAUGGGCGUCGACCGGCGCACGGGUGAGUAACGCGUAUCCAACCUGCCCACCACUUGGGGAUAACCUUGCGAAAGUAAGACUAAUACCCAAUGACGUCUCUAGAAGACAUCUGAAGGAGAUUAAAGAUUUAUCGGUGAUGGAUGGGGAUGCGUCUGAUUAGCUUGUGGCGGGGUAACGCCACAAGGCGACGAUCAGUAGGGGUUCUGAGAGGAAGGUCCCCCANAUUGGAACUGAGACACGGUCCAAACUCCUACGGGAGGCA
rnacentral:rRNA from 1 species